UGAAACUCAAAGGAAUUGACGGGGGCCUGCACAAGCGGAGGAACAUGUGGUUUAAUUCGAUGAUACGCGAGGAACCUUACCCGGGCUCAAACGGGGAGUGGCGCAGGCAGAGACGCCUGUUUCCCACGGGACACUCCCCGAGGUGCUGCAUGGUUGUCGUCAGCUCGUGCCGUGAGGUGUCGGCUUAAGUGCCAUAACGAGCGCAACCCCCGCGUGCAGUUGCUAACAGUCAACGCUGAGGACUCUGCACGGACUGCCGGCGCAAGCCGCGAGGAAGGCGGGGAUGACGUCAAAUCAGCACGGCCCUUACGUCCGGGGCGACACACGUGUUACAAUGGGUGGUACAGCGGGAAGCCAGGCGGCGACGCCGAGCGGAACCCGAAAUCCACUCUCAGUUCGGAUCGGAGUCUGCAACCCGACUCCGUGAAGCUGGAUUCGCUAGUAAUCGCGCAUCAGCCAUGGCGCGGUGAAUACGUUCCCGG
rnacentral:rRNA from 1 species